GGAGGUAGUAACUAGUAGUGUCUAUUCAGCAGUCUGAUGGUCUGGAGGUAGUAACUAGUAGUGUCUAUUCAGCAGUCUGAUGUUCUGGGAGGUAGUAACUAGUAGUGUCUAUUCAGCAGUCUGAUGGUCUGGAGGUAGUAACUAUUAGUGUCUAUUCAGCAGUCUGAUGGUCUGGGAGGUAGUAACUAGUAGUGUCUAUUCAGCAGUCUGAUAGUCUGGGAGGUAGUAACUAGUAGUGUCUAUUCAGCAGUCUGAUAGUCUGGGAGGUAAUAACUAGUAGUGUCUAUUCAGCAGUCUGAUGGUAUUGAGGUAGUAACUAGUAGUGUCUAUUCAGCAGUCUGAUAGUCUGGAGGUAGGAACUAGUAGUGUCUAUUCAGCAGUCUGAUGGUCUGG
rnacentral:lncRNA from 1 species